GACGAACGCUGGCGGCGUGCUUAACACAUGCAAGUCGAACGGAAAGGCCCUGCUUGCAGGGUACUCGAGUGGCGAACGGGUGAGUAACACGUGGGUGAUCUGCCCUGCACUUCGGGAUAAGCUUGGGAAACUGGGUCUAAUACCGGAUAGGAGCCAUCUUUAGUGUGGUGGUUGGAAAGUUUUUUCGGUGUAGGAUGAGCUCGCGGCCUAUCAGCUUGUUGGUGGGGUAAUGGCCUACCAAGGCGGCGACGGGUAGCCGGCCUGAGAGGGUGUACGGCCACACUGGGACUGAGAUACGGCCCAGACUCCUACGUGAGGCAGCAGUGGGGAAUAUUGCACAAUGGGCGCAAGCCUGAUGCAGCGACGCCGCGUGGGGGAUGAAGGCCUUCGGGUUGUAAACUCCUUUCGCUAGGGACGAAGCUUUGUUGUGACGGUACCUAGAUAAGAAGCACCGGCUAACUACGUG
rnacentral:rRNA from 1 species